UGAUGCAGCGACGCCGCGUGAAGGAAGAAGUAUCUCGGUAUGUAAACUUCUAUCAGCAGGGAAGAUAAUGACGGUACCUGACUAAGAAGCCCCGGCUAACUACGUGCCAUCAGCCGCGGUAAUACGUAGGGGGCAAGCGUUAUCCGGAUUUACUGGGUGUAAAGGGAGCGUAGGCGGCGGAGCAAGUCAGAAGUGAAAGCCCGGGGCUCAACCCCGGGACGGCUUUUGAAACUGCCCUGCUUGAUUUCAGGAGAGGUAAGCGGAAUUCCUAGUGUAGCGGUGAAAUGCGUAGAUAUUAGGAGGAACACCAGUGGCGAAGGCGGCUUACUGGACUGACAAUGACGCUGAGGCUCGAAAGCGUGGGGAGCAAACAGGAUUAGAUACCCUGGUUGUCCACGCCGUAAACGAUGAAUACUAGGUGUCGGGGCUCAUAAGAGCUUCGGUGCCGCAGCAAACGCAAUAAGUAUUCCACCUGGGGAG
rnacentral:rRNA from 1 species